UGGGGAAUAUUGCACAAUGGGCGCAAGCCUGAUGCAGCCAUGCCGCGUGUAUGAAGAAGGCCUUCGGGUUGUAAAGUACUUUCAGCGAGGAGGAAGGCGUUGUGGUUAAUAACCGCAACGAUUGACGUUACUCGCAGAAGAAGCACCGGCUAACUCCGUGCCAGCAGCCGCGGUAAUACGGAGGGUGCAAGCGUUAAUCGGAAUUACUGGGCGUAAAGCGCACGCAGGCGGUCUGUCAAGUCGGAUGUGAAAUCCCCGGGCUCAACCUGGGAACUGCAUCCGAAACUGGCAGGCUAGAGUCUUGUAGAGGGGGGUAGAAUUCCAGGUGUAGCGGUGAAAUGCGUAGAGAUCUGGAGGAAUACCGGUGGCGAAGGCGGCCCCCUGGACGAAGACUGACGCUCAGGUGCGAAAGCGUGGGGAGCAAACA
rnacentral:rRNA from 1 species